rnacentral:rRNA from 1 species
CGGCAACAGCUCAAAUUUGAAAUCUGCCCGCAAGGGCCGAGUUGUAAUUUGUAGAGGAUGUUUCGGGUACGGUCCGGUCUAAGUUCCUUGGAACAGGACGUCAUAGAGGGUGAGAAUCCCGUAUGCGACUGGGUGCCUAUGUUCAUGUGAAACUCCUUCGAC